UACGUAGGUGGCAAGCGUUGUCCGGAUUUACUGGGCGGUAAAGAGCGCGGCAGGCGGUCGUUCAAGUCGACGUUGUGAAAGCCCCCCGGCUACAACUGGGGAGGGUCACGCGAUACUGAUCGACUCGAAGGCAGGAGAGGGUAGUGGAAUUCCCGGAUGUAGUGGUGAAAUGCGUAGAUAUCGGGAGGAACACCAGUGGCGAAGGCGACUACCUGGCCUGUUCUUGACGCUGAGGCGCGAAAGCUAGGGGAGCAAACGGGG
rnacentral:rRNA from 1 species